UUUACCUUUGAUCCUACCCCAAGGCCUGCCAGAAUGAAAAUAAAGAACAAAGACAACAAAGAAAACAGCCGACAGGAACAGGAUCUUGGGAGCCAAAUAUCAGGGUCUCACUCUGUCACCCUGGCUAGAGUGCAGUGGUGCAAUCUCAACUCACUGCAGUGUCAACCUUCUGGGCUCGAGUGAUCCUCCCACCUCAGCCUCCUGAGUAACUGGGACCACAGGUGCAUACUACCACACCUGGCUAAUUUUUGUAUUUUUCGUAGAGACGGGGUUUUGCUAUGUUCCCCAGGCUGGUCGUGAACUCCUGAACUCAAGCAAUCCCCCUGCCUUGGCCUCCCAGAGUGUUGGGAUUACAGGCGUGAGACACCAUGCCCGGCCUGGGCUCCCAAGUUUUUACUUUGCUUUCACGUUCCCUGGAGUCUUCAGAGGGAGCAUGGCUCUGUUGACACCGUGAUUUCUGACUUUUGGCCUCCAGAACUGCGGGACAAUACAUGUCUGUUGUUUAAAGCCACCCAGUUUGUGAUAAUUACAGCAGCCCUAGGAAGCAAUAUACUUAGUAUGGAAAAACAAUGUGAAAUUUCUCAUUAGUAAUUUUUUAUGUGAAUUAAAUGAUUGAUUUGAUAAUAUUCAUUUGGGUUAAUACAAAUAUAUU
ensembl:lncRNA novel transcript